rnacentral:rRNA from 1 species
AUGGCCAACGUCACCGCCGAGAUGACCAAGGAAAGGAAGGUGUCAUGGAACUGCGCCGACGUUGAGGGCGUCUCGGGCAGCGUCACCCCGGCACCAUGCGCUCCGCUGCUGGGCACCCACGUCGGCUCCUGCCCGUUCCCCAUCGACACGCUCGCCGUCGACCAGAUCACUAUACAACAGUGCUCAUACUCCAUUGCGCUUGCUACUACUUCAGUGGCUGGGACACAGUAG